rnacentral:rRNA from 1 species
GAUGAACGCUGGCGGCGUGCCUAAUACAUGCAAGUCGAGCGAACAGACGAGGAGCUUGCUCCUCUGACGUUAGCGGCGGACGGGUGAGUAACACGUGGAUAACCUACCUAUAAGACUGGGAUAACUUCGGGAAACCGGAGCUAAUACCGGAUAAUAUAUUGAACCGCAUGGUUCAAUAGUGAAAGACGGUUUUGCUGUCACUUAUAGAUGGAUCCGCGCCGCAUUAGCUAGUCGGUAAGGUAACGGCUUACCAAGGCAACGAUGCGUAGCCGACCUGAGAGGGUGAUCGGCCACACUGGAACUGAGACACGGUCCAGACUCCUACGGGAGGCAGCAGUAGGGAAUCUUCCGCAAUGGGCGAAAGCCUGACGGAGCAACGCCGCGUGAGUGAUGAAGGUCUUCGGAUCGUAAAACUCUGUUAUUAGGGAAGAACAAAUGUGUAAGUAACUAUGCACGUCUUGACGGUACCUAAUCAGAAAGCCACGGCUAUCUACGUG